rnacentral:tRNA from 1 species
GCCUGGGUGGCUCAGUCGGUUAAGCAUCCGACUCUUGAUUUCGGCUCAGGUCGUGAGCUCGGGGUUUGUGAGUUCGAACCCCACAUCAGGCU